rnacentral:rRNA from 1 species
AUUGAACGCUGGCGGCAUGCCUUACACAUGCAAGUCGAACGGCAGCGGGGGAGAAGCUUGCUUUUCCUGCCGGCGAGUGGCGAACGGGUGAGUAAUACAUCGGAACGUGCCCUGUAGUGGGGGAUAACUAGUCGAAAGAUUAGCUAAUACCGCAUACGACCUGAGGGUGAAAGUGGGGGACCGCAAGGCCUCAUGCUAUAGGAGCGGCCGAUGUCUGAUUAGCUAGUUGGUGGGGUAAAGGCCUACCAAGGCGACGAUCAGUAGCUGGUCUGAGAGGACGAUCAGCCACACUGGGACUGGGACACGGCCCAGACUCCGACGGGAGGCAGCAGUGGGGAAUUUUGGACAAUGGGCGAAAGCCUGAUCCAGCAAUGCCGCGUGUGUGAAGAAGGCCUUCGGGUUGUAAAGCACUUUUGUCCGGAAAGAAAUGGCUCUGGUUAAUACCUGGGGUCGAUGACGGUACCGGAAGAAUAAGGACCGGCUAACUACGUGCCAGCCGCCGCAGUAA